GCGGAGCACGGGGGGCCUACGGGAGGCAGCAGUGGGGAAUAUUGCACAAUGGGCGAAAGCCUGAUCCAGCCAUGCCGCGUGUGUGAAGAAGGUCUUUGGGUUGUAAAGCACUUUAAGUUGGGAAGAAGGGUAUUUAGAUAAUACGUAUGUACUUUGACGUUACCGACAGAAUAAGCACCGGCUAACUCUGUGCCAGCAUACGCAGUAAUAUA
rnacentral:rRNA from 1 species